rnacentral:lncRNA from 1 species
UUUUUCCUGGCUCCAUCACAUGUUUAUUUGAAAUGGUACUGGACCUUAAUUAGUUCCCAUGCAGGAUUUUCUGUACUGUUGGGAAAUGUGGGCCACUUGGCUCUGGACCAAAUUCAGUUCAUUUAUGUCAACAUCUUAGGAACCCUUGGCCAUGACUGCCGUCUACUGACCAGGCACAAAAGACAAACCAAAUGGACUUUGCAAAACUAACUCUUCUCAGUUGGCAUAGUUAGCUGCUGUCUGUAUUGCUAAAUUUCAAUGGCUGUCUGAAGGCCAGGGGGCUGGUCUUUUAGUAUACUGCGACUAAAGGACAUUUAUUUAUAUCAAACUUUUAUUUUUAGAUAUUAUAAGCAUACAGUAGAUAACUGAUAAGAUUGAUAUUUUCUAGAGAUUUAUGGUAGAGAUUGAGCUGCAUUCAUAACUGGAGCCCUAGGUUGUCACUUUAUUUAAAAAAAGACAAGCAACCAUUUGACGAGACAGCAUUGCUGCCAUUAUGGAGAGAAGAGGCCCUGCUUCCUUACCCAGUAGCUCCGCCCCCUGUGGGUCAUGAGACUUUCCCCAAAGUGCCUUUGUCUGCCUGGAGUCAACUUGGAUCCAUUGGAAACAUAGAAAGGGUCCAGGGGACAGCUUAUCCAAGAGCUAAAUUCUGAAGGGGGAGG